rnacentral:rRNA from 1 species
AACGAACGCUGGCGGCAUGCCUAACACAUGCCAGUCGAACGAGACCUUCGGGUCUAGUGGCGCACGGGUGCGUAACGCGUGGGAACCUGCCCUUAGGUUCGGAAUAACUCCCCGAAAGGGGUGCUAAUACCGGAUAAUGUCUUCGGACCAAAGAUUUAUCGCCUUUGGAUGGGCCCGCGUUGGAUUAGCUAGUUGGUAGGGUUAAAGCCUACCAAGGCGACGAUCCAUAGCUUGGCUGAGAGGAUGAUCAGCCACACUGGGACUGAGACACGGCCCAGACUCCUACGGGAGGCAGCAGUGGGGAAUAUUGGACAACGGGCGAAAGCCUGAUCCAGCAAUGCCGCGUGAGUGAUGAAGGCAUUAGGGUUGUAAAGCUCUUUUACCCGGGAUGAUAAUGACAGUACCGGGAGAAUAAGCCCCGGCUAACUCCGUG